CAGAAAUACUAGAAAAUCUGGUUUUUCCCAUUUUUCCUGCCCGUUAUUCUCACCAGUGGGGCGGGACCACUUCUUGAAGCCAUCCUGUGACACUCACAAUGAUUUGUCACCUGGGCUGAGUGGUCUCCAAGUGGCCAUAUGCCAAUGGUGGUGUUUUUCUCUCAUGAUGACUUGUGGGUUGAAAAGAAGAAAAGGGAUCAAGUGACAUUUGUUUCUUCUCUUUCAUGGAUUUCCGUGCCUCUCCUCAUACCUGUGUCCCCAAAAUUCUUAAAGGUCCUAAGAGAGGGGAGUAAAAGCAUCUUUCGACUUUGACUCCAAUGGAAUGGAACUGGCAAACUUUGAGCUAACUAGGAAUAUUCUCGAUGGACUGUCAACAUUAGUCCAUGCUGCAAUUGUGCUCCUUGAUGUCCACAGCACUGCUCCUGAUUUUUUCUAUCUGUUGACAUGGAACAUGGAGAGCUCACCAAAAUUCAUUUUUCUGUUGGUGAUGUCAAUACUGCAAGAGACUCAUUAGAGCUGCUAAAUUCAAGCAGAGUUUGGGAGACCACAUCAAAACCAGCAGGGAAACUUUAAAAAGCAGACGCUCCAUCUCUCUGGCACACUGGCAACUGGACAGCGGCUUCUUUCGACAUCAGUGUCAAUUCUGCCACUUGACCCAUUCCAUCACUUACAUACUCACCCCCCACUGGCCCACACCACCACCACCAAAACUGUUUAAAUACCUACAGGCUGGGAGUCAAAUGGCCAACACGUCCUCCCUGAAAAACUCGAUGUGUAUUCUCCUAGGAACUGCUCUACUUUCAACAAAGAAAAACUCCCCAUGAAGAAAAGUUCACAAGACCCUGAAUGAUGGAUGCUAAAUGUUUAAUCAGAUGCCAGGAGCAGUUACAUAAGGUCUGCUCAGUUCUGAGAUCUAUAUUGGGAGAGAACAACCAGGAUGGUGAAAUGUAAAAUACAUAUAAUCUUCCAGAGUAGCGCAAAAAGGAAUCUAAUCAUCCCACAGUCGUGAAACCAUUCAUGUGCAGUGAUUUUUUUUUACAGUUUUCUAAUUUUGUAUUAUGUUUUGUAAAUUAUUUAUAAGGUGUUGUAAUGCUUCUUAUAUUAAUUUUUUACUAACAGAUUUUUGCUAUGAGGCAUAAAGAGGUGCCUGAACAGGUUCUUGGGGAUAUAAAUGAUGUAUGUGUGUGGAACUCACUUGUGGGUCUUGUGGACCACGCCUAUGGUUUGACUCCAUUGCUGACUCCAUUGGGAAAGGACAGUGCAUUUUCAUGUUUCCGCAUCCCCAAAAGUUACUAUCGCCACCAAUAAUUCACAACAGAAAUCAGUUUCCAGCUCAUGGGAUUGUCUUUUGAGCAUUGCCCCUCCUUUCCAGUUGGUUUUGAGCUCUUUUCAUUAUUUCGACCUGACAUGUGGACCAACGAUGAUAUGCCUUUCACUUUAUGUUCCUGUGAUUGUUUUAUGGUUUUAUCCUGUAUAGAUUUGGGGAUGUUUCUUCCAACUAAAAGCUGUUUUGGAUAGUUAUGAUUAUAAAAGCCUUCAAAGGUUUUGAUUUAUUUAUGUUGGAUUAACCCUACAUCUACUCCCCCAUCAAAAAAAAAACAUAAACACACACACACACACACACACACACACACACAGAGAACAAGGAGGCAAAAGGAGCUAGGAAAGAACAAGUAGAGGCGUACAAAAAAACUCAAGCUAUAACCAAAAAGUAAUUUUGAAUUGCCUUUGCUCGUCUUCUCAAUGCUGGACCAAAGCUCAAUGUAUGUAGGUAUAUGCACAUUGUAUAGAUAUGGCUAAAUGUUGCUGACAAUCUUGCAAUACUAAACUGUUACUAUUUAAGAAAAAAAGAUAAACUGUUCAUCAGUGUUUACCUCAGCACUCUACUUGUACCCCAUUAAUGACCAACACAAAAAUGAGAGACAAAGAUGGAGAAAACGGAAUUGAAUUUCCAUGUCAAUGCUUGACUACAAAAUCUUGUCGGGAUAACAUUUCGUAAUGAGCUUUUUGUCACGUGGUUUGCUUGUCUCUGAUUUGAGAUUCUGUGAGGCACACUUGUUAGUUUCUUGUCGAGGAAGUGAGUUUCUGGUUAUGAUUUUUAUGUCCUCUGUGCUAUAAUCUACAGAAUGGUCACCAGGGUCACUAAUGAAGCCCUGCCAAGAGAUCUGCUUUUCCAUGCAUGCAGCAUGCUGCAGGAAGGGGGCAGUACAAAGAGGGACUCUAUCAUUUUCCAAUAAUAAUAAUAAUAAGGAUACUGAUAUUAGAGGAGUUGCCAUGAUGGACUUGUGACCAAGAAGCCAAACUGGAUAUUUAAAAGCUCCUAACUUGCUCUGACAUUGAAACCAAAGCUGAUUUACCUGCACAGGUUGCUUAAUGUUUAAAAAAAAAUAAAAAAAAUUAAAAAAAAAACACUGACAAACUGUACUUUAUCUAGAGCAAUAUCUGUAUGGUCAGUAAAGCUGCACUUUGUGUAUUUCUUAAACAGCUUCAGAUCUGUCACUUUUAAUUUGUACCAUAAAAAAAUAAAGAAUUGUUUGACAUGAG
ensembl:lncRNA